rnacentral:rRNA from 1 species
ACGCUCGACACCUACGGGAGACAGCAGUGGGGAAUAUUGCACAAUGGAGGAAACUCUGAUGCAGCGACGCCGCGUGAGGGAAGAAGGUCUUCGGAUUGUAAACCUCUGUUGUCAGGGACGAUGAUGACGGUACCUGACGAGGAAGCCACGGCUAACUACGUGCCAGCAGCCCGGUAAUCUGAGCGGGCUGGCAAGGC